AACGAACGCUGGCGUCAGUCCUAACACAUGCAAUUUGUGCGGACCUUUCGGGCUUAGCUGCGGACGUGUGUGUAACGCUUGUUAAUCUUCCCUUCUCUACCCUAUCCUCCUGGUAAACUGUGGGUUAUCCCGUAUACGCUCUUUGUGGUUAAGACUCAUCGGGGCAGGAUUAGCCGGCGUUGGCUUAGGUCGUUGGUGCGGUAAUGUCCUACCAGCCCGUCGCACCAUAGCUGUUUUGAGAGGAUGAUCAGCCACACUGGGACUGAGACACGGCCCAGGCUCCUACGGGAGGCAGCAGUGAGGAAUCUUAGACAAUGGGGGCAACCCUGAUCGAGCCAUGCCGCGUGAGUGAUGAAGGCCUUAGGGUUGUAAAGCUCUUACAGCUGGGAAGAUAAUGACGGUACCAGCAGAAGAAGCCCCGGCUAACUCCGUG
rnacentral:rRNA from 1 species